UUCCCCAAAGACCAUACACCA
rnacentral:piRNA from 1 species